CUGCGGGGACUAGCAGAGAGCUGA
rnacentral:piRNA from 1 species